rnacentral:misc_RNA from 1 species
AAAAGAGAGGAAAAAAAAAAAAAAGAAGAGGAUAAAUCAGCUAUCACACUCAUUUUAUGUGGACAAAGCAGUCACCCAACUGUACUAGUUGAUUUGUUAUUGAUGAUGUGGGCUGACUUAAAAAGGUUAAGUCAUCCUAAAAUGAGGAUAACUUCUUGUUGCAAAUAUUCUGAGUACUCUCAUUUAGAUGAAUGCAUCAUUCUGAAUAUUUUUACUACCUGUCGACUUCUGUGGGAGGGGGGACCCUUGCAUCAAUGGAUUAUUCUUAUCAUUUUGCUUCAUCUAAGGAUGUGUUUCAUAGAAAGUUAAAAAAUCAAUGGUUGAAUGUUACCCUUGUAAAUUCUAACUUUUAAACAGGGUAAUUAUUAACCUAGGCUCGCCAAAGUUAGCAUUUAACCUCUUAAGAAGAUAUAAAUAUUAAUGAGCUGAAAAGCUAACCUAUUCUCUUUAGAUAUCUAGACAACAUUAAUGAAGGGAUAAAAGUUACAAGGGUAAUAAUUA